CGCAAAAACAGGAAUUGUUUCAGGGCGCUGAUAAAAACACAGAAGAUUGGAGUAAUGUGAGAUCCUUUUUAUUCUAAGCAUGAGAGAAGGAAGGGAUAGGCUGCUACUGGAUGCACCAAAGAAAUAGAGAGGAUGGUUUUGGGUUCAUGGAAGAUUGGAAAGUUGUGAUGAGAGAUGCAUCAGGUUCUCAUAUUGCAAUGCAGUGGAACAUAAAGUGAUGAAACAUAAUGUAUGAUGAAACAAAGAGAGAGAAAUAAACCUUCAAUAUGACAUCGGUUAGACAGCUUUGAAUUUGGGUGGAGAUUUGUAAAUGGAGAACAUUAAAUUGUCAGCUAUGUGUUUAAACAA